AAUCUUAAAAACAGCGAAAGCCCUAACCUCUCUUUCGCCCUUGCAGCUCCGAUGACUGCGCCAGUGUGAAUUUUAGAUAUUAAUAAAAU
rnacentral:sRNA from 1 species